AUCAUUUUGGUGUUUUAUUUGGUUUCAAUUGAGUGUAGAUAAAAUGAGUGAGUAGAUUAGUCAUGUCCCGUCUCUUUGCCUAUCUUGAAAUUUCUCAUCACAUAAUUAUUUCAUU
rnacentral:sRNA from 1 species